rnacentral:rRNA from 1 species
AUUGAACGCUGGCGGCAGGCCUAACACAUGCAAGUCGAACGGUAACAGGAAGAAGCUUGCUUCUUUGCUGACGAGUGGCGGACGGGUGAGUAAUGUCUGGGAAACUGCCUGAUGGAGGGGGAUAACUACUGGAAACGGUAGCUAAUACCGCAUAACGUCGCAAGACCAAAGAGGGGGACCUUCGGGCCUCUUGCCAUCGGAUGUGCCCAGAUGGGAUUAGCUAGUAGGUGGGGUAACGGCUCACCUAGGCGACGAUCCCUAGCUGGUCUGAGAGGAUGACCAGCCACACUGGAACUGUGACACGGUCCAGACUCCUACGGGAGGCAGCAGUGGGGAAUAUUGCACAAUGGGCGCAAGCCUGAUGCAGCCAUGCCGCGUGUAUGAAGAAGGCCUUCGGGUUGUAAAGUACUUUCAGCGGGGAGGAAGGGAGUAAAGUUAAUACCUUUGCUCAUUGACGUUACCCGCAGAAGAAGCACCGGCUAACUCCGUG